rnacentral:rRNA from 1 species
AGGGCGUAUGGGGGAUGCCUAGGCUCUCAGAGGCGAAGAAGGACGUGAUAAGCUGCGAAAAGUUGCGGGGAUUGGCACAUACGAAUUGAUCCGCAAAUAUCCGAAUGGGGCAACCCAGUACAUUGAAGAUGUACUACACCUUAUAGGUGGGCAAACCUGCUGAACUGAAACAUCUUAGUAGGCAGAGGAGAAGAAAACAAAAGUGAUUCCCAGAGUAGUGGCGAGCGAAAUGGGAGCAGCCCAAACCCAUAUUGUUACGGCAAUAUGGGGGUAGUAGGACCCAGAUAUAGGUUGUAAAGCUGGAUUAGAAGUGUUUGGAAAGACACACCAUAGAGAGUGAAAGUCUCGUAUAGGCACAGUUUUAUAAAUCUUAUGGGUAUCCUGAGUAGGUCGGGGCACGUGGAACCUUGACUGAAUCCGCCGGGACCAUCCGGUAAGGCUAAAUACUCCUGAGAGACCGAUAGUGAACCAGUACCGUGAGGGAAAGGUGAAAAGAACCGUGAAUAACGGAGUGAAAUAGACCCUGAAACCAUACGCUUACAAGCGGUCGGAGCAGCAUUAGCUGUGACGGCGUGCCUUUUGCAUAAUGAGCCUACGAGUUACUGUUACCAGCGAGGAUAAGUAUUUCAGAUACGAAUCCGUAGCGAAAGCGAGUCUGAAUAGGGCGGCAAAUAGUUGGUAGUAGUAGACGCGAAACCUGGUGAUCUACCCUUGGGCAGGUUGAAGCGCUGGUAACACAGCGUGGAGGACCGAACUGGUUGUCGUUGAAAAGACUUCGGAUGACCUGAGGGUAGGGGUGAAAGGCCAAUCAAACUGGGAAAUAGCUCGUACUCCCCGAAAUGCAUUUAGGUGCAGCGUUGAUGCGAGUUUAAUAGAGGUAGAGCUACUGAUUGGAUGCGGGGGUUUCAUCGCCUACCAAUUCCUGACAAACUCCGAAUGCUAUUAAAUGCUCAUCAGCAGUGAGGGUAUGGGUGCUAAGGUCCAUAUCCUAAAGGGAAAGAACCCGGACCAUCAGCUAAGGUCCCCAAAUAUAUGCUAAGUUGACCAAACGCGGUCUGACUGCACUGACAGCUAGGAUGUUGGCUUGGAAGCAGCCAUACAUUUAAAGAGUGCGUAACAGCUCACUAGUCGAGCGGUUGGGCAUGGAUAAUAAACGGGCAUAAGCAUAUUACCGAAGCUAUGGGGUUAUUACUUGAAGUAAUAUACCGGUAGGGGAGCAUUCUAUUGGCGUGGAAGCUAAAGGCGUGAGCCAUAGUGGAGCCUGAUAGAAAAGAAAAUGUAGGCAUAAGUAACGAUAAGGCAGGCGAGAAACCUGCCCGCCGAAAGAUCAAGGUUUCCUCAGCUAUGCUAAUCAGCUGAGGGUUAGUCGGGGACUAACGCGAACCCGAGUAGGGGUAGUGGAUGUACAAUAGGUUAAUAUUCCUAUACCAUUAGUCUGUUAAAAGUGACGGAAUGAGAUAACUACCGCGUACUGACGGAAUAGUACGUUUAAGGAGUUGUUAUGACUUCGAAAGUACGCUGAGGCUUCGGCCGAGGUGAGUGUGGUGACAACGUUUCCAAGAAAAGCGAAGGCUAAUGCCCGUACCGUAAACCGACACAGGUGAUUGGGAUGAGAAUUCUAAGGCGCUCGAGAGAUUCAUGGCUAAGGAACUAGGCAAAAUAGACCUGUAACUUAGGGAGAAAGGUCGCCUAUCAAUAGAUAGGCCGCAGUGAAAAGGUCCAAGCGACUGUUUAUCAAAAACACAGGACUCUGCAAAAUCGAAAGAUGAAGUAUAGGGUCUGACACCUGCCCGGUGCUGGAAGGUUAAGAGGAGAGCUUAGCAGCAAUGCGAAGGUUUGAAUUGAAGCCCCAGUAAACGGCGGCCGUAACUAUAACGGUCCUAAGGUAGCGAAAUUCCUUGUCGGGUAAGUUCCGACCUGCACGAAUGGUGUAACGAUUUGGACACUGUCUCGGCCAUGAGCUCGGUGAAAUUGUAGUAUCGGUGAAGAUGCCGAUUACCCGCAGUGGGACGAAAAGACCCUGUGCACCUUUACUAUAUCUUCGUAUUGGUCUUGGAUAAGUGAUGCGUAGGAUAGGUGGGAGACUAAGAAGCGGCUAUUCCGGUAGUUGUGGAGUCAUUGUUGAAAUACCACCCUUUGCUUAUCUGAGGUCUAACCCUGCUAAGAGCAGGGGACAAUUCGUGGAGGGUAGUUUGACUGGGGUGGUCGCCUCCAAAAGUGUAACGGAGGCUUCUAAAGGUACCCUCAGACCGAUUGGUAACCGGUCGUAGAGUG